UACGUAGGGUGCAAGCGUUGUCCGGAAUUAUUGGGCGUAAAGAGCUCGUAGGCGGUUUGUCGCGUCUGCUGUGAAAAUCCAGGGCUUAACCCUGGACCUGCAGUGGGUACGGGCAGACUAGAGUGCGGUAGGGGAGAUCGGAAUUCCUGGUGUAGCGGUGAAAUGCGCAGAUAUCAGGAGGAACACCGGUGGCGAAGGCGGCUCUCUAGUACGGUACUGACGCUGAGACGCGAAAGCGUGGGGAGCGAACAGG
rnacentral:rRNA from 1 species